GGGGACGUAGUGUAGUGGUUUAACAUGCGGCCCUGUCAAGGCCGAGAUCGCGGGUUCGAAUCCCGUCGUCCCCG
rnacentral:tRNA from 1 species